rnacentral:tRNA from 1 species
AGUUAAGUAGCUUAAGUCAAGCGUAUAUUUUGAAAAUAUAAGAAAAAGGUUUAAUUCCUUUAUUAACUU